rnacentral:misc_RNA from 1 species
AAGAGAAAUUUUGCCAGUCCAAAGUCACCAACACGGACAGUCAUCUCUUCAUCGAGGAGUAUGUUGCUUGGUUUUAAAUCACAGUGAACAAUUGGUACUUGGCAAUUGUUGUGGAGAUAAUCAAGUGCUGAAGCAGCAUCUAUUGCGAUGUUUAGUCUUUGGAUAAUAUUGAGGUGUUGCUCAUCACCUUUCGAGUGCAGCCAGUCAUCUAAGCUUCCGUUUUCCAUGAACUCAAAGACUAUGCAUUUGAAAUCAUUACCUUGGUAAUCGAUGCUUGAACAAACAGCUAUUAUCUUAAGGAGAUUUCGAUGCCUUAUGCUUUUCAAAGCUCUGCAUUCAUCCGAAAAGCUUUUCAAAGCACCUCUUUGUUGAAGGUUCAAUACUUUCACUGCCAUAACUUUAUCAAAAACCUGAAACUUUCCUCUGUAAACAGAACCAAAACUUCCUGUACCGACUAGAUUAUCCUCAGAAAAUCCAUUGGUUGACUUGAAUAUAUCUUGGUAAGUUAUCUUUGCUGUCAAAAUUGGAUCAUUAAAUAAAGU